rnacentral:tRNA from 1 species
GCCUGGAUGGCUUAGUUGGUUGAGCGUCCGACUUCUGCUCAGGUCAUGAUCUCGCAGUCUGUGAGUUCGAGCCCCACGUCGGGCU